UAGGCAGUUAUAAACAUACUCCUUGGAAGAAUUUUAGCAGUACUGUAUUCACUAUCAAGUGGAUACUCAAGUCUCGGUAACUACUGUGAGUGAAAACUCAAUCCAGUCAACUCAAUCAUUGUUGUAGGAAAGCAUGUUUGUUUGAAGACGCAUCUGUGAAGGCCAGACAAUUACCUGACUUACUAAAGCAAGAGUGAAACUCCGAGAAAUGUUAGCACAAGUCACAGUGAUUUAAUAUUUCAAACUAGAUUUGUUCAACGGCAUAAUUCAUACUAAUUUAGCUUGGUACCAUCGGACAAGAAAACACCUGUAACACAAAUGGUUCUUGAAUAUUGUUUUAUAUAAUAACUCUUGUAAUAGGACUAUAUUACGAAAAAAAUGCUUAUUUAAACCGGACUUUAAAAGCAAAGAACUGUAGAAUAGCCUUGAAUUUGAGGUACAUAUGUUUAGCAGUAAGACAUUAGCAAAACGAUAAUAUAUGAAGGGGUAUGCUAGUAAAUGAGAUCCUAGGGAAGUAAUGUCCCUACCGUAUGAUGUUUGUUAAAUUAAAGAAAUUAUGGUUUGUA